GACGAACGCUGGCGGCGUGCUUAACACAUGCAAGUCGAACGGUAAGGCCCUUCGGGGUACACGAGUGGCGAACGGGUGAGUAACACGUGGGUGAUCUGCCCUGCACUUCGGGAUAAGCCUGGGAAACUGGGUCUAAUACCGGAUAGGACCAAUGCCUGCAUGGGUGGUGGUGGAAAGCUUUUGCGGUGUGGGAUGGGCCCGCGGCCUAUCAGCUUGUUGGUGGGGUGAUGGGCUACCAAGGCGACGACGGGUAGCCGGCCUGAGAGGGUGACCGGCGACACUGGGACUGGGAUACGGGCCAGACUCCUACGGGAGGCAGCAGUGGGGAAUAUUGCACAAUGGGCGCAAGCCUGAUGCAGCGACGCCGCGUGAGGGAUGACGGCCUUCGGGUUGUAAACCUCUUUCAGCACCGACGAAGCGCAAGUGACGGUAGGUGCAGAAGAAGGACCGGCCAACUACGUGCCAGCCGCCGCCGUAA
rnacentral:rRNA from 1 species